UGAAACUGCCUACGCAAGUAGUGAGGAAGGUGGGGAUGACGUCAAAUCAGCACGGCCCUUACGUCCAGGGCUACACACGUGCUACAAUGGCCGGUACAACGGGCAGCGAAGGAGCGAUCCGGAGCGAAUCCUAAAAAGCCGGUCCCAGUUCGGAUUGCAGGCUGAAACUCGCCUACAUGAAGUUGGAGUUGCUAGUAAUCGCGAAUCAGAAUGUCGCGGUGAAUGCGUUCCCGGGUCUU
rnacentral:rRNA from 1 species